AUUUUUUUUUUUUUCUACCAUAAAAAAUAUAUUUUGAUUUUGAUUUUUUUAUUAAAAAAUGAAUAUUAUAAUAUUUAUUAAAAAAUAAAAUAAUAAAAAAUCUGAAAUUAAUAAAUAAAAAAAGUAAAAAGUGAAAUUUUUAAUUAAAUAAAAGAAAGGUUAGUAAAAGUAAAACAUAAAAUGAGAGAAAAAAAACUAUAAAAAGUGAAAAAUUUGGGUAUUGAACUCGUGACAUCUAACACUCAUAACCCUUUAUCCAAAUACUAUCCUCCAU
rnacentral:lncRNA from 1 species